rnacentral:rRNA from 1 species
AGAGUUUGAUCAUGGCUCAGAGCGAACGCUGGCGGCAGGCCUAACACAUGCAAGUCGAACGGGCGUAGCAAUACGUCAGUGGCAGACGGGAGAGUAACACGUGGGAACGUGCCCUUUGGUUCGGAACAACCCAGGGAAACUUGGGCUAAUACCGGAUAAGUCCGCAAGGAGAAAGAUUUAUCGCCAAAGGAUCGGCCCGCGUCUGAUUAGCUUGUUGGUGAGGUAACGGCUCACCAAGGCGACGAUCAGUAGCUGGUCUGAGAGGAUGAUCAGCCUCACUGGGACUGAGACACGGCCCAGACUCCUACGGGAGGCAGCAGUGGGGAAUAUUGGACAAUGGGCGCAAGCCUGAUCCAGCCAUGCCGCGUGGGUGAUGAAGGCCUUAGGGUUGUAAAGCCCCUUCGGCGGGGAAGAUAAUGACGGUACCCGCAGAAGAAGCCCGGUUAACUUCCUGCCAGCAGCCGCGGUA